AUGGAUUACAACAUCCUGAAUUGGAAUGUUCGUGGGAUUAAUAACCCUGCGAAGCGAAGAGCCAUUCUCAUGUUCCUUGCUGAACAUCAAUGCAACAUAGUCUGUCUCCAGGAAGUUAAGCUGUCAAGUAUUUCGAGAAGCAUAGUCACGGAAACUCUCGGUCCCCGUUUUGGUCAUAAUUUCAUUUACAAACCUGCCGUGGGCACUAAGGGAGGCAUUCUGAUUGCUUGCACAUCUGACUUUGUUAUCAAUCAUGAGCCCCUUGCUGAUGGUUCAUUCUCUAUCUCCGGGCAAAUUGUGGACAAAAGCAACAAUGAUGUGUGGACUAUCUCUGGAGUGUAUGGGCCACAAGAAGACGCAGACAAAGUUUUGUUCAUCGAGGAGAUCAAGCGGCUGAAGCAGUUCGCGCUACCCUGCUGGAUGAUGCUAGGGGACUUCAACUUGAUCAAGAAUUCUGAUGAGAAGAGUAGGGGGCAUAUUAAUCUGCAAAUGAUGGGAAGAUUCAGAGGCGCGGUUGAGGAUCUUGAGAUGAUCGAAUAUCUACUCAUGGGCAGGAAAUUUACCUGGUCCAACGAGAGGGAUAAUGUCACUUUGACGAAGAUUGACAGGGUCCUUGUGACUAAAGAGUGGGACAUCAAAUACCCUGCUUACCAAUUAACCCCGGCGUCAACGUCUAUAUCGGAUCAUUGUCCGAUGUUCCUAAAGCACAUACAGCAGAGGCACUUUAGGGGAUUUCGAUUCAAAUCCCACUGGUUGAAUAAGGCAGAUUUGGUGGACAUUGUGAAAGAUGCUUGGGAAAAGGAAGUCUUAUCCACUGAUGCUAUUCGAGUGCUCCAUACGAAGCUUUCCAGAACUGCUAGGGUACUGAAGAAAUGGGAUAGGAAGGAAUCCAAGCGAUCGCGGGAACUCUACAAUGUAGCUACGCAGAUCAUUUUUCUCCUUGACCUGGCGCAAGAGGAGAGGGAAUUAUCUGAGGAGGAGCGGGGACUGCGAAAAGAGCUCAAGGCAAAAUUGUUGGGACUCGCGGCAAUUGAGAGGAUUCGAUGGAGGCAGAGGUCUAGACUCACUUGGAUUAGAGUUGGGGAUGCCAAUACAAAGCUCUUCCACAUUCGGGCCAAUGGACGGAGAAGAAAAAAUCACAUUCCGGCACUUAGAGGGACUGCUGGGUUAGUCCAUGAUCAUGAAGGAAAAGCCAACAUUCUGCUUGCUCACCACAUGUCGUUGAUGGGAACUGCACAGCAACGACAGAUGCAACUCAAUUGGGAGUAUCUGGGCAUGCCAACUGUGGAUCUAUCUCAUCUAGAUGACAAUUUUUCCAUGGAGGAGCUCAAAACAGCGGUGUUUGGACUGCACGCUGAGAAGGCGCCUGGGCCUGAUGGGUUCAUCGGUGGGUUUUUUAAAAAAUGUUGGGACUUUAUCCAACAUGAUUUGCUCAGCUCUCUAAACCAACUCCAUAAUCUGAGGGGAAACAAUUGGAACCUCCUGAACACUGCACAUAUUGUCCUUUUGCCCAAAAAAGAGGGAGCUGAGCAGGUGAAUGACUAUAGGCCCGUCAGCCUAAUGCAUAGUGUUGCAAAGAUUGCUUGCAAGAUUCUAGCCAACCGACUUGCUCCAGAGUUACUGCAGCUGAUUUCUGCUGGUCAAAGUGCUUUCAUUAAAGGAAGAAGUAUUCAGGACAACUUCCUCUACGUGCAAAAUGUGAUUAAGGGGGCACACUCCAGAAAGUCACCUCUGAUCUUCAUGAAACUGGACAUAGCGAAAGCUUUUGAUUCGGUCCACUGGGGCUAUUUGUUGGAUAUUUUAAAGGGCUAUGGAUUUGGGCAGCGUUGGAUGGAUAUGCUGGCCAUUCUGCUAUCUUCCUCAUCUUCCAGAGUGUUACUAAAUGGAACUCCAGGAGCUCCUUUCUCCCACAGGCAGGGGCUCCGGCAAGGCGACCCGCUAUCACCCAUGUUAUUCAUCCUGGCUAUGGAGCCAUUACAGCGGAUGUUUGCCAAGGUAACGGAGGAGGGCAUCCUGUCACCUAUCAAGCACAAAUCUGUUGGGAUUAGAACCAGUUUAUAUGCAGACGAUGCUGCUCUAUUUCUAAAUCCUGCCAGGCAUGAAGUCGUCGCCACUCAACGCAUCCUAAAACGGUUUGGAGAGAUUUCUGGGCUGAGGGUAAAUCUGGGCAAGUGUGUGGCAUACAAAAUUGGAUGUAAUGAUGCUGCACAUUCACAAACCUUGAUGGAUUUUAGUGGUGCUCAAGGCACUUUUCCAUGCCGGUACUUAGGUCUACCUCUAAGCACAAGGAAGCCCAGGAGAGUUGAGAUACAGCCCUUCCUUGAUAAGGCAAGAUCAAGGAUUAAGCCAUGGAAGGGGAAGAUGCUUAACAGGCCAGGCCGGCUUGCUUUGGUCAACUCGGUCCUAACUGCUCUGGCAACAUGA
rnacentral:rRNA from 1 species